GGGAGUGUGGCUCAGUGGUAGAGCGUUUGCCUGCCAGGCAAGAGGCCCUGAGUUCAAUCCUCAGCAUGGGACA